ACCAUUAAUAUUAUAAAUAAUAUAAACAAAAUAAAUAAAAAUGAAAAUAAAACAAGAAUGAACAUACAACAUUAAAUAAAAAACAGAAAAUAUAUAAGCGAAUAAAUCCAAAUUUACAACAGAAAUCUAAUAAAAUACUUAAGUGGAAACAAAGUAAAAUAAAAAGAAAAUUUACAAAAUAAGUAAAAAUAGAAAAGGAGACAAUAUGUAACACACAUGAAUCCACAGGGAUCAAUAUUGAGAUAAUCCCUGAUCAUGAAACAUUGUGUUGAAAUAUGGACUAAAACAUAAAAGUAUUCCAGAUUUUAGGGAUAAUUUAAAAGAAAAUAAAGUAAAUUAAAUGAAAAUAGGAGCAAAUUGCGCCGCAAUACAAGUACGAGGGACCUUCCGCGAAAUAAACCAAUUUAGGCGCAAAGGCACCAAUUCGGAGCCCCAGGCUGGUUAACGCGCGGACCUUGGCUCCUUCCCCUGUGCGGCGUCGUUUUAAUUGGCUACUACACUUCCCCUUUUAAUUGUUUUGCCUUCCAAAACACAGCAAACUUUUUAGCCCAAAAAAAAUAUGCUAUCAGCCCCUUUUUCUUAGGUUUCGCAUAACACAUUGCUACCGCCAUCAAGCCCUCAAGCCAUGAAGUCGAUUUAGCCUCGAACUUCUUUCUCUAACUCCGAUUUCAACGAAGCAAAGAAAGAUUCAUGGCAACUUUACAAAGUAAGAUUCCUUCUUUCACUCUUCUUUAUAUUUUGAAAUAUAAUACUGAAAUAUUGAAAAAGAAAAUGCAAUGAUUCUAAAAAAAGAAAUUAAAAGCGAGUAAAAAAACUGGAAAUCACCUUUCUAUUCUUACUUUCGAAAUAUUCAAUGUGCUAAUGUAAGUGUAUAUUCUGUGGAUGGGUCUGUGUAAUCCUUUUGCAGGUACAGAAUGAGGCUUUUAUAGCCUGGAUUUACAGAGAAAAUAGUAAAAAGAAAAAAAUAUUUUUCUUGCUGUCAUCUGCCCAUUUCUGUUAUUCCUUUCUUUCUGGUGUAUUCUCUUUGCAGGAACGGUUGUACGGAGGACCGACCCUGGUGACGUGGAGACCAAUCGUCAAAAAUUUUUUUACACGAGACUGACCUUUCGGUGACCUUCUGGUUUACUCCAGAAGCUUCCAGCAUCCUCAAGAUACUGAUACAAUUUUUCUUGCAUAUUAGGCCUCGGUUUUGGGCCGGAUUUAAGAUGUGGAUUGAUUUCAUUGGGCUUUAGAAUUUGGGCCAAAUAUUAUGUAAUUAGGGUUAAAGAACUUUGGGGUAUUUGGUUAAGAAAUGGGCUUAUUGUAAUUGGGUUUUAAUUUUUAUGUAAAGGGUUUUGGGGUAUUUAUUUAAUUGGGUUGGAUAUUUGUAAAUGGACUCUUUGGACUUAUUUAUUUUUGGAUUUUUAUUUUGGGUCUAUUUAUUUACAAAUGAGCCCGGGCAAAAAUGGGCCAUUACAACAAGCUUAAUAUACUCGCGCAAUAAUCAAAAUAUAUAUUGUAGAAUGAAUAUUUUCAAAGCACAUAAUUUAUAGAUUGACAAAUUUAUAUAGAAAAUA
rnacentral:lncRNA from 1 species